rnacentral:rRNA from 1 species
UACGUAGGGGGCAAGCGUUGUCCGGAUUCAUUGGGCGUAAAGGGUGCGUAGGCGGCGCGGUAAGUCGGAUGUGAAAUCUUGGAGCUUAACUCCGAAACUGCAUUCGAUACUGCCGUGCUUGAGGACUGGAGAGGAGACUGGAAUUUACGGUGUAGCGGUGAAAUGCGUAGAUAUCGUAAGGAAGACCAGUGGCGAAGGCGGGUCUCUGGACAGUUCCUGACGCUGAAGCACGAAGGCCAGGGGAGCAAACGGG